rnacentral:misc_RNA from 1 species
CUGCCCGUCAAGCCCGGCUUGUGUGUUGGGUCGACGUCCCCUCCCUCGCGGGGGGGACGGACCCGAAAGGCAGUGGCGGUGCCGCGCCGGUGCUUCGAGCGUAUGGGGCUUUGUCACCCGCUCCGGAGGCCUGGCCGGCGCCCGUNNUCCCCACACUAUUUUUCUC